rnacentral:rRNA from 1 species
UACGUAGGCAGCAAGCGUUGUUCGGAAUUACUGGGCGUAAAGAGUGUGUAGGCGGUGCUCUAAGUUUGGUGUGAAAUCUCCCGGCUCAACUGGGAGGGUGCGCCGAAACUGGAAUGCUUGAACAUGGGAGAGGAAAGCGGAAUUCCUGGUGUAGCGGUGAAAUGCGUAGAUAUCAGGAGGAACACCUGCGGUGUAGACGGCUUUCUGGACCAUUGUUGACGCUGAGACACGAAAGCGUGGGUAGCAAACAGG